UUCAAAUGUUGGCAUGUAUGUAAAUGGAUCUCUGCUCUCUUUACUGGCAUGAUGCCUAGUUGUCGAACAUUUCUUUAUUCAACGAUAACAAGAACAGAGAUAAAUCCAAUUUAAACAUAGACGGCAAAACAUAGAAGAUCAGAAAGAAAACGGAGGAGGAUGCUUCAAAUCCACUGCCCAUCCUUUGGUCUGUCUCAGUCGUUCUCUUUCUAUCAUUCUCUGAUACUCUCAUUUUUCUGUCCGUUUUAUUUUGCAAUAGGGGUGGAGCAAAUAUGAUCACCUCAUCAUACUCCUAGUUACGCAAUGGUCGUGAUUCCCCCCAAAAUAUGAAAUAAUAUGAAGAGAAAAUGUUGUUCUAAAAUAAAUACAAGCAAUGUAUGAAUUUGAUAUAGCGUCAUCUGCGUUCUGAUUGCGAACAUUCAAAAUAUCAAUAAAGUGAAAAGCUACGCUCGAAUAGAGGUGAAUGACUUCACCCUCUGGAACAAUGGAUGCGUCGAUUUGACUUCGCAACAUGGCUGGGAGGAUACUUCAAGGCGGUCGGUUGAUUGUUUACCUCUCUUAAACCACCUUGUUUUCCCCACGUGCAAUUGUGUAGCUUGUUAGGAAGUCAACGAUGGAAGAACUUGAUACCAAAUCACGGAAAUAUUUCAUUUUUAAUCAGUGAUUUGGUCUGCAGGUUUCAUCUGGAGCACUUUUGGAUCUGUCCGUCCCGUUCAAGCCUUUCAUUGACUUGGCAUCUUUUCUCGAGUUUGGCGGGGGUGAAUGGACCCUAGGCCCGCAGCUGCAGGGGCUGUGUAGGGGUGGCUAGCGCUGUGCUGGGGUUUCGUGCCUGGCUUGGUCGACUGACAUUCAAUGCAGUGUUGAGGCUAAAACGCUGCUGGAUUUUAGUGAACAAAGGACAUUUGCAGAGCGGAUUGUAAAGGAAAUUUCAAGCAAAAUGCCGCUUUCUUUUGAGAGACGUUGGAGCUUGGAUAGAAGGAAAGAUGACAAGAAAGAGGAUAAGAAGGAUGACAAAAAGGAUGAUAAGAGCAAGGAUAAGGAGAAGAAGAGCAAGAAGGAAAAGAAAAAGUACAAGACCAAAUUAGAGGUAAGUUUACAACUACAAAUCAUUUGGGAAAUUAUACCGUCUAAUCUUCAUUAUGUAAAUGAUCAAUGCUUCCUGCAUCCUGUGUCUUAAUCAUAUUCCUUUUGUAAGUAGGCCCUACAUGGAAAUAGCCCUCGUUGUAGGUCUAAUAUUGAUUACAAUUCGUUGUCGAUACUAUCAACGGAAGAACCCAUACAUUGAUAAGUAUGGCGGAUCCGUCGGUUCAUAAAACUGCUGACGAAUUGCAUGGGAGCAGUACAGACUUGAUAGCAUUCAGGCCAGUGUGUACUAGUGCAGGCUCAUCAAUGAAGCAGAUCAUGUAAAAGUGUAAUAGCUCCCUCUAGAGUGUAUGUGUAUUUAAUCACCUCUGUCAGUACUGCAUUCAAGCAGCUGAUUGGGGGUCUUUCAUCAUACUUCUGUUCUUUCAUCUGUGUAUGGGUUGUGAGAUAUGUAUUGUGGGUUCAUAUGGAUGACAGCUGACAAGCUGGGAAUAAUGUUAAAAUGAUUGAUCAUUGCAUGACAUCAAUGUUAAAGGAAAGGGAGGAUGAGAUAGAGAUAAAGUGAGAGAUAGAGAGAAAGAGAGACAGAGAUAGACAGAUAGAUAGAUAGAUUGAUUGAUAGAUAGAUAGAGUGAGAGAGAGAGAGUAUAGUUUAAACAAGUUGAGAGACAUAGAGCAAUAGAGAAAGUUAGUAAGUUAGAGAGCGAAACUAAGGGCCUUACAGAAAGUUAGAACUGAUAAAACAAGGAGACAGACAGAUUACAGACAUCUACAGGGAGACACACAGACAGAGCAGAGAUAGGAUCUGAGUGUCCUCCUUGAUGAAUGUCUAACAUUCUGGUAAAGAGAGAGUGAUGUGCUGGAAGAUAAACCACAACACCGACUACAUGACUCCCUUAGAGGCCUAACCAAGCAGACGCUAGUGAUCACCUCGUCAACAUCAGCAUCGAGCAUGAAACUUGUACAAAGUUAGGCCAAUUCACUGUUGUCGAACUAAGAAAUGAUAGAGAGAAUACAGGCUCCAGAAAUGCUGCCUACUAUUCCCAGGAUCGGUCUGCAAAUUUGUGCGCUUCAUGAAUAUAUGCAUCUGGAGUAAAUCAAAAUCACUUUCAGUAAAUGAAAUAAGUAAUGAGUUAAUUGGAGUAUUAGGAAAGUAGUGCAAUGUAUGAGCAUCGUGGUAUGUUACUCCUUAUUAAGAUGUUGAGAGUCUACAUUUAAAGGGAUUCUCUCCAUCCAUGAAUAAUUACAAAGUAGGAUUCUUUUAAUGAGAUGUACUAUGUGUUGAUGAUGGCAGCAUGAGCGGAUGCUAGCGUUACAAUUUGCAGAAUGCAAGCAUUAUUUUUUUUAAUGGUUAUAUUUGAAUAUUCAGUUAAUCAUGUUGAUUAAAGAUAUAUUAGUAUUUUUAUUAAAAUGUUCAUAUAAUCAACUUAUAAGACACUUAUAAUAACACAACAAAAUCAAUUUCAAAUUCAUUCAUCUUUUAGCAUUCUCUAUUUUCUCCAACAAUCUUUGAUAAAUCUAUAUGUUUUUGGUAAUAUGGUAGUAUAUUUUUCUUCAAAUUUGUCUUCCUCAUCAUACUGCCUAUCAUCCUUGUUUUCUCCAUCUUCUAAAGAUGAGAUAUUGCUCCAAGGUUAUUAUCCUCCUUCAUCUCUUAAUUAUAAGCCUUGAAUCCUCCUCAUUGCAAUGACCCAAAACAACAUCCAUACACCACACACUAUCCCACGGCCAGAUCUAUCCAUAUCACUCCAUGCGAGGCACGACCAUCAUAUUCAAUUGCGAGCAUAACACACAAAUGCAUGCCCGGUGAGGGGUUGCGCAUCACAUAUACCUGAUGGUGCGGUUCAAGCGGACAGGCAGAGGGAACGCCAGUAGCACUCGAGCAAGAAAUCUCCCUGUUGACUCUUAGGUGACAAUACUUGAAGAAUACUAAUGCCUGCCCAAAUAACUCUUGGAUACAUCUUGUUAUGAGUCCAAUCACUUUCCAAGCCCCGAGCUACAUGUGGAGUCAUGAACCGUAUAUAUUUGUCUGCAUUUGUGUGGACUUAGGAGGGCCCCUCCAUGUCCAGUUUCUAAGUUAUUUUGGUCAAGGAUGAUAAUUGAGCAAGUAGCUUAGAGUACAAUCUAGAAAAACAACACAUUCCUCUUCUCUCCUUACCCCCAAACUGAACUCAUAUUUUUGUACAUCAGUAUACAAUUUCUUUCUUCUGCACAUUGGUACACAUAUCUUUACUAUUUGUAUUUAUCAUCUAUUCCAAAAGUCUCAGGAGUAGAGCGUAAUUAAGCUACAUAUUUACCAGUGAAUCAUUUACAUUUCCCUAGCUAUGCUUUAGGAAAUUGUGAUUUUGAACAAACAGUUCAAGGUUAGAAGAGUACUCAUUUGCAUACCUCCUGGUGUAGAAUGAAGCUAAAGGAAAUUGUUAUUAACCGAAGAACCUAUUUGGAAAAAAUGAGGAAUGAUUUAGAGAACAAUAAUUUAGUAAUUCUGCUUUUUGACGUAAUAAGUGGUAACUGAACCCUCGACUGGCACAAACAAACAUCUUGAGCUAGCCAGCGAGCUCCAGAAGCAAUCAUACUGAGAGGGUAGAUAGCCUAUCACACACAUACAAACACACAUUACAGGGCGAUGACAUGCGUUUGUAGACCUAUAUAGAUAGAUGCUUGCUUGCAUGCAUUCUAAUGUGUGGGACUGAAGAAAGAAUACAGGAAGAGAGUAAGUAAGUGAAGGGUGGUACUAAUAAA